rnacentral:rRNA from 1 species
AUGCCGGCGCGCAAAGCGCCUGGACCAGAUGGCUUCACCGCGGAGUUCCUGCGCGCCUGCUGGAGCAUCAUCCGGCAUGACAUAUGGGACGUUUUCGAGCUGCUUUACGCGCUGCGCGGGCGCGGGUUCAGCAAGCUCAACCAAGCGUUGCUGACCUUGCUGCCCAAACGCGCGGACGCCCACAAGCUCCGCGACUAUCGGCCGAUCUGCCUGAUCCACAUAGUGGCCAAGAUCUUUGCGAAGGUCCUGUCACUGCGCCUCGCUCCCAAGCUCGACACCCUUGUCAGCCGCAACCAAAACGCGUUCAUUGCCGGACGUAGCCUCCACGACAACUUCGUCCUAGUCCGGCAAUCCCUCAAGAUGCUGCACCAACUUGGCGCACCCAAGAUCAUGCUCAAAACUCGACCUCACACGCGCCUUCGACUCCAUCUCCUGGCCCUUUCUCUUCGAGGUGUUGCGCCAGUAUGGGUUUGGGGACCGAUUCAGGGAGUGCCUGGCCAUUCUGCUCUCCUCGGCGAGCACUCGUGUCAUGGUCAACGGAGUUCCCGGCCCGCCAAUCUGGCACCGCCGCGGCCUAAGACAAGGUGA